AUCAGCCACCUCGUCAGCCUGCCACACCUGCCAGUAAUCAACCUCAUCCCAGCCUGUAUUUCAACCCCGGUUCUCCACUCCAUCCUCGCUUGAUCGUCGUUGCUCCUUACCCGGUGCCACCUCUACGUCCAGGCUCUCAUGUUCACUCACCCUCGUCAUCCGUUCAGUCGGCUGGGCUCAUCCUCCGGUCCUCACCUCUCGGGCUUCCUCCACGGCACCCUCCCGGCUCCUCCCUGCUCCUCGCCUCACCACCCGUGCCUCGCCCGCUCCUUGGUCCUCCGUGCCCGCGUCCCCUGGCGUCCACCUCUCCUCCCUCACCU